GUUAAACACCAGUUCCUGUACGAACACCGAAGUUAAGCAACAUUGAGUCUAGUCUGUACCUUGAUGGGUGACCGCUUGGGAAUACUAGGUGUUGUAA